GGACGCUCAAGACGCUCUCCAAGCCAUGGAUGGAAAGAAUCUAAACGGUCGUGAGAUCCGUGUGAAUUUUGCUGCUAGGGAUAUCCCCUCGAGAAUGUCCCCGGGUUUCUCUGGAGGCGUUGGUCGAUAAAGACUAGUUUUCGUGCGUAAGAUCAUCCAAACUAGAAGCUCAUAAAUCACCAUCAUAACUUUGGUCAAAGAUAAUUAUCGUGGUUAACGUCGCGAGUUCGCACAAGUUAUGAUACGUUUGUGGAUCUAGAUAAAAGAAAAUGAUUAUAAUUUUUAAAUGUUUAUGAUUAUAAAAUGAUCUUGUGAA